rnacentral:tRNA from 1 species
GGGCCCGUAGCUCAGCUUGGUAGAGCACCAGACUCUUAAUCUGGCUGUCGAGGGUUCAAAUCCCUCCGGGCUCG